GGAGACCACACCCUCUCCCCUUGCCUUGAAACAUCCUUUGGGACUAGUCGCUGCCCACCAGGUGUAGGGAGGAGCAACCAGCUUGUGUAGCGGUCCCUCUUCUGGCCUAAGAUGCAAUGGUAGCAGAAGACUUCCAAGUUCACCAUCUACUGAGCACAACCUACUCACAGGCUGGUUGCAACCUGUCUUCUCAUUUGUAGCUUUUCUACUUUGUUUGGAAGGCUUGUUUUGGUCACAAGCUAUUUGAUUCUGCUUCACAUUGAUCAGUAUGUGGCCUUGGGUCUGUUUGACAAUCAAACCAUGCUGAAAGAAAUGUCCUCAAGUCUUUAUCUCUGAUGUUCAUCACAACAAUUAGCUUUGCCAUCCUUGAGGGGUGUUCUCACCAUAAGCAUCCUGAAAGCCGGAUCAUGUACACUACAACGUAUCUUCAGAUGCCUCCCCAGAAGACAGGAAAAAAAACAACAAAAACCACCACCACCACCACCACCACCAACAACAACAACAACAACAAAAAACCAAACCAAAACAAAACAAAAAAAAAAAAAAAAAAAAGAAGAACAAGGAACCCCUGCUAUACAUACAUUCCAAAACUUCUGAAUUUUCUCCCUGAGAGAUCUGAAAGUAUGAUGGGCUUCCUCACCACACAGAAAACUGAGAAGUCAGUCUUCACUGGCAUGCAUUAUUUGCUCUUUUGAAAGUCAUGCUGUGUUAAAAGGUUGCUUUGUUUGUAAAAAGGCAAUAAUUCAUAAUAUGUUUGUACGUGAGAACACAGUUUUAUUAUUAUCUUGAACAAGUAAUUAGAUUGAAAGUAGUGAUAACGACACACUGACAACACCAGUACAUAUAAAAAUGAGAAUGAGCUAAUCUUUCAGUGGCAAAGAAAAACCAGUUAUUGUAUUGCUUUAUCCAGUAGGCUUGAAUAAUACUAUCAUGACAUGAUAGCUUACGCUCAAUUUUAAACAUACACUUUACUUAAAAUAUAAUAUUCAUUUAGUAUGAAUAGGCUUUUUUUCCAUGCUGCUUUGAAAAAUAUUCUAUAAUAGUCUGUAAUGCAUCUGUUUCAAAGAGUUGGAAUUAUAUCUUCAUAUAAUUUAUGAAGCUAUACAAACUUGAUCAUAUCAAUACAGCUGUCAGGAAACAAUUUUCCUGUUCUUUGAGAAUUUUUAACAUAUAUAUAAAAAGAAAUCCCAUCUAAAAUGGGGCCAGAAAAGUCAAAAUUCCCAAAAUAAAAUAGAGAUGUUAAUCCUCCAGUCCAUAUCCUGUUUACUUUCACAUACUGUGUUAGCAUAGCAGCAACAACAAAAAAACACCGUUUGCUUUAAAAUACAUUGCAUUACUUUGGUAAUUUUGUAUAAAACUAUUCAUUAGCUUUUAAUUAAGUUUUUUUUAUACCCCAAAAAUAGUUAAAAAAUUAGAAUCAGGUCUAUUAGAGUCAGCUCUUUUUACUAACUCCCCAAAAUCUACACAGAGAACAGCUAUGGUAAACUGAUUUCUCCUCAGUAAGAAGAUGAGAAGCAUGCUUCUGUGAAAGUGCUUAAAAGCAAUUUUAUAGCUGAAGAAUCAUCACACACAAACUAAAUAUACAAAGCUUCCCCAGCAGACUACGAAAAAAACCCCAGAAGAUCAGUAAAUUCUUGUCUGAUUAUUAAAAAUGUGGUUUGACUAUACACUUUUUUGAAACCCAAGUCAUAUUUAUAUCCUUGAGUUUGUAAUUCUAAAAAAUACAUUCUUUCUGAGUAAGAUGAGAAAAGCAAUACUAUAUAUUCAGGACAUGACUAGCAAACACAAAUCAUAGUAAUAAUAAUAAAUCCUAAACAAGCAUUUCCCUAAGUGUGUUUUAGACAAAACGAUGAUAUUUUUUAAAAAAUGUAGACAUCUGUUGAUAGUUUUUUGCAUGUUUACACCAUGCUUAAUAUGCAUUAAAAAUCUAAUUUUUAUUAAAAAAUAAUUAAUGAAAGCAAACCUUAUGGCAACAGAAGAACACACUAGAAUGAAACAGAAACUGUCAGAAUAAAGCAAAUUUGCCCUAUUAAUCUGAUGCUUUAUGAUUGCCUGCUGCUUAUGCUAAGAUGUCAAAAAUUGAAUUAUUGUAGUUUUGGAAUAUUUUUAAUCUCUAAAUGCAACAACCAUCAGUCAGAGGAGAAAUUGCAUUUGAGUAAAUGAGUGUGACUCUCAUCUGGGCUAAAGGGAAAUGUUUCAGAAUUAUCACAGCAAGGCUGGCAUAGCCUCUGGACUGAAUUAAUCUAUCACAGGGGCUUUUAAUGUCUCCAAAACAGUAGUGCACACAGACUACUUGCUUCUUCUGACACAUCGAGCUAUUUCCCAGGAGACCUUGCUCUGGUCUACAGUACCACAAACAGUUUUAGGCAACUUGACACGGACUGUGUUUCAUCAGUGGUCUAAUUUCUCCAGGAUUUACAUUCCCUUUAAAGCAAACAGUGUUUGUCCUUGGGGAAAGUUGCACACCAAUAGGGUUUUCUUUUUUUUUUUCUUUUUUUUUUUCCCAUUAGGAUCAUGAAUGUCACUGUGGCUAAAAACAGUGCUAAUACAUAGUUUAAAGCUAAUCAAUGUAGAAUAUAAUCAAAUUCUUCUCUCACGCUCACCACAUCCCUAACUUGAAAGGGCAGCUAAUUCAGUUUCAUCUUUUAAGAAGCUUGGCAGAAAGUUUAUAAAUGGACAGUCAAUAUGACAAAUGAUUUAGAAUCUAUAAGAGAGAAGAGAGUCUUGAAAAAAUUCUCAGGGGUUAGUUUUAAAAGAAUGUAUCAGAGGAGGAAAUCCAGCAGCCACUGGUAAGCUAGUUCCUGUAUUGAUUCUGACCACAGGUCUCAGGGAUAAAAGAUCAUUGCAUCUUCCCUGACAUGAAGGACUCUUUGGUCACACUGGUUUUGUAGCUUAGCAGGAAAGAAUUAAUUUUACAAUACAAGCUCUUCAGAGUCCUACUGCAGAAGAAAUUCUUUUAAUUCAGAGCUUCCUUUUUUAUGGCCUUCCAACUGUUAGUUUUUGUGUGCUAUAAAACAUCCAGUUUCAAGCUAAAGGGCAGCAAAGUGGUGCUUAGGGUGCAGACAUGGGAGGAGCACUGAAGUCCUGUCAUUUCUCAGGUGAAGGAGGAAAAAAGCUGAGAGCAGCAACAGGAAAGCAAGUGUUGAGGCAGGAUUGCACCAGGGCUCUGCUCUGAAGGGGGCAACUACAGGGUGGCUACUCCUUUUAAAUUUUCCUAGCAGGGUCCAUAUCAGUCCCUGAAGAGAAGAAUUGUGACUGCCAGUAUGGUAAGAUCAGGUUCAGCAACUGAAUCUGCAUAUUGCAUACCAAAGGAAUUGUUGAUGGUACACUGUGGCUAAAGCUGAAUGCAUUGAGAUUAUAACACAGACAUUAAUUUCAUUCUGCUGAGUUCUUAUACUCAAACUAAUUAUUAUUUAGAGUAAUUUUUCUAAAUAGCUGGAUAAGCCUGAAAAAUUACAUUUGCAAUAGAAAAGUCAGCAAAACAUAUACUAAAGCUAUUAAAUGACAGUACUAUAAUAAAGACAUUUAUUCUUCAUUACCUAUUUGAUCAGCUAUGGUGGUCUCUAACCUGCUGCUCUCCUUACUACAGUGGCCCCAGCUCUAUGCUUUACUUAGCUUGAGAGAACAGAAGAGAAUUCAUUGUUAUUAACAAUACCUACACUAAGUAUCUAAGCUUAUGUUCAAGGCAAUAUGAUAUUUUUUUGUGCAUAUAAAGAAGGUGGUUUCUUGGUAGCAACUGAAAAACAUUGCCAUUGAAGUUUUAUAACAAAAAUCCUUAUUGAAAUUUGAGCAAUAAUAAUUCUUACUCAAAAGUCUUAAUAUUUGACUUGGCCACAAUAUAUUUCUACAAUCAAAAUUACAGACUCAAUAAUUGGAAAUAACUAAGGUUAUUGGAAAAUUAUCUGUUUACUUAUAGGAUAUAUGAAGUAUUUGCUAAAAUAUUAAUUAUUUUGCCAAAAAUGAGGAAAAAAUGUUACUGGCAACUUAAUUAUCGCAACACAUAAUUUCAGGUUUGUAUUGUUUAUUGCAAUAGUUUACCCUAGGCUUUCAAAAAAGGAGGUUUGAUUUAGUAUAUUUUUAAAACUUUCCCUACUUCUACAGCUGGUGUAGUUAUAAUUUUAAGUUUUCUUUAUUUGCUCCAAAGCAAAGUCUUAAAAGUUAUGUGCACAACAGCUAAGCUCAGAAACACUGACACUUAGUUUAUCUGGCUCAUCUUUUCAGAGUGAUUUCUUUGGCUAUGUUUUGUUUUAAUUCCAGUAUGUGGCUUCAUGAAUUUUGAUCUUGGGAGGUGGUAGUGCUUCUGAGCACUCUUUUAAUUCAAUAAUAAGUAAUUGCCCCUAAGACAGAAGGGUUCCAGAGGGAAAGAAAUGGGAAGCUGGUAGGAUUUGAAUAUAUUCAUGUGGGUGCAGAGAUUUGCAACUGGCAAAAAUGUGCAAGCAGAUGGAGCCGUGUAAUCACUACUUAGGUUCCUGAAUAACAUGUGUCGUAGUCAUUUGGCCAUUGAAUGCAAUGGUUAGAGCUGAGAAAUACUGAAUGUCUCCUGACAAAAUGGAAGAUAGCUUAACAUCGUCAAAGGUAUGCUACAUAUCCACAGCUUGUGGUCUGAUAUCUAUGACUAUCUGAGGAAAAACCCCUACUCUAGGGGCAGGUGGUCCAUUGUACCAAUGGACACACACAACAUGCCUCCUCCCCGCCGCUCCUCCUGCAACCAGGAACAACUACAAAAAAACCUGCCCACAAAAAAAGCUGUCCACAACAGGAGGUGUAUAUUCCAGUCCUACUGACCAGGGCAAUGUGACCACAAUUAAGCUUUGAACAAGUUCCUGUAAAGUGGUCUGAAAUCAGCAUUAUGAUCUAGGGGCAACACAGCACUCAAAGGUGAACGUGGAGAGUGGAGUCCUCCCAUUCUUUUCCUAAAGUGCUGUAUGACUGAGAGGAGUAAUUUCAUCAUGCUGUUCUUUUACAUCAUUUCCAUUCACAUUAAGAGGUCUUUGGCUACUUAAACUGUACAUAAUGUAAAGACACUGCUUCACAGCAUGCUUUCAAAGCAUCUAGCACAUUAUGUUCCAGAGUUCUGUAAAAGCCUUCUAUUCACCACAAAAAUAGUGAUAGAUAAUAAUAAAUACUGUUGCAACAUAGUGUUGGAAACUCAUUCAAACACCAGUCCAUAAAGCUGGGUACAUCUAAACCAUUGUGUUGUCCGUCUGCUGAAGAAACCUGACUAUUCUGCUGUUUGGGAGGGAUUCAGUGACAAAGUACCCCUCUACUCAAUCUGGCCUUCAUCCUCAGAGGAUACCUACUCACUCCAGGAUAGUAUUUUGAAGCUUGAGCUGUUCUGUACCUCUUAACAUAACGUGGUUUUAGCGUACUGUAUAUUGUUUAUCACUAAAAUGCAAACAUCUUUUGGAUUUUGAAUAAAUGCUGAUUCUGAAUAAUUUUGGAUGCUAUACUAGACAACAAAAUAACCAGAUGAUCUGGUCUCACAUUUAGGAUGCGUUUAUCUAAUAUAUUUUCCUCUCAUCUGUCUCUUUUCUUUUUACUCUUAUUGUGAGCUGUGCUCCCUCUUGUUAUUUUUUUCCCAUCUCCUUAACUAACUUAGGGUGCUUGGAAAACAGCAAAAACCAGUCACUGAUUUCAGGUCAUGUAAAAACAAUAAGUGAAUAAAAAAACCAGCAUUUUUAUGCUGACUUCUAUAAGUAAAAUUAC